UAAAAGUGAAUUAAAAUGGGUCUAGAAGA
rnacentral:piRNA from 1 species